rnacentral:rRNA from 1 species
UACGUAGGGUGCGAGCGUUAAUCGGAAUUACUGGGCGUAAAGCGUGCGCAGGCGGGCUUUUAAGCCAGACGUGAAAUCCCCGGGCUUAACCUGGGAAUGGCGUUUGGGACUGGGAGUCUGGAGUGCGGCAGAGGAGACUGGAAUUCCUGGUGUAGCAGUGAAAUGCGUAGAUAUCAGGAGGAACACCGAUGGCGAAGGCAGGUCUCUGGGCUGUAACUGACGCUGAGGCGCGAAGGUCAGGGGAGCAAACGGG